CGAGCGGCGGCGGCGGCCCGAGGGACGAUGAGCGGCGCGGCGCAGGCGGGCCUGGCUCGGCUCGCCGGGCUCACGCUGCUGACCUGCGGCCUGUGGCCGGCGCGGGCGCACAACGCGAGCCAGGAGUACUACACGGCGCUCAUCAACGUGACGGUGCAGGAGCCCGGCCGCGGCGCCCCGCUCACGUUCCGCAUCGUCCGCGGGCGCUACGGCCUGGACUCGCCCAAGGCCGAGGUGCGCGGCCAGGUGCUGACGCCGCUGCCCCUCCACGGAGUUGCUGAUCAUCUGGGCUGUGAUCCUCAAACACGGUUCUUUGUCCCUCCUAACAUCAAACAGUGGAUUGCUUUGCUGCAGAGGGGAAACUGCACAUUCAAAGAGAAGAUAUCACGGGCUGCUUUCCACAAUGCGGUUGCUGUGGUCAUCUACAAUAAUGAAUCCAAAGAGGAGCCAGUCACCAUGACUCACCCAGGCACUGGAGAUAUUAUUGCUGUCAUGAUAACAGACUUGAGAGGUAAGGAUAUUUUGAGUUAUCUGGAGAAAAACAUCUCUGUACAAAUGACAAUAGCAGUUGGAACUCGAAUGCCGCCAAAGAACUUCAGCCGCGGCUCUCUGGUCUUCGUGUCAAUAUCCUUUAUUGUUUUGAUGAUUAUUUCUUCAGCGUGGCUCAUAUUCUGCUUCAUUCAGAAAAUCAGAUACACAAAUGCACGCGACAGGAACCAGCGUCGUCUUGGAGAUGCAGCCAAGAAAGCCAUCAGUAAAUUGACAACCAGAACAGUAAAAAAGGGCGAUAAGGAAACAGACCCAGACUUUGAUCAUUGUGCAGUCUGCAUAGAGAGCUAUAAGCAGAACGAUGUUGUCCGGAUUCUCCCCUGCAAGCAUGUUUUCCACAAAUCCUGCGUUGAUCCCUGGCUUAGUGAACAUUGUACCUGUCCUAUGUGCAAACUUAAUAUAUUGAAGGCCCUGGGAAUUGUGCCAAAUAUGCCGUGUACCGACAACGUAGCAUUUGAUAUGGAAAGGCUCAUCAGAGCCCAGACAGUUAACCAGAGAUCAGCCCUAGGUGACCUCACCAGUGACAGCUCUCUUAGCCUUGAGCCACUUCGAACUUCGGGGAUAUCGCCUCUUCCUCAGGAUGGGGAACUCACUCCUAGAACAGGAGAGAUCAACAUUGCAGUAACAAAAGAAUGGUUUAUUAUUGCCAGCUUUGGUCUCCUCAGCGCACUCACGCUCUGCUACGUGAUCAUCAGAGCCACAGCUAGCUUGACUGCUAAUGAGGUAGAAUGGUUUUGAAGAGAAGAAAACUGCUCUCUGACUUAUUGCCUUGAGGGAAAAAAGAACCUGUUUUUGUGCAUCAUUUACCAAUCAUGCCACCAAGCAUUUAUUUUUAGUACAUUUUAUUUUUUCAUAAAAUUGCUAAUGCCAAAGCUUUGUAUUAAAAGAAAUAAAUAAUAAA